AUAUGCAGCGCUGUUGUGGAAUUAUGGCAUGCGCAAAAAUCAAGCUGAGGCGAUUAGUGACAGUGAGGCACCAACCAAGCCAAUCAGAUCAAACGUUGAUGUGGAUAGUAGUGAACGUAUCACAAUCACUUAGUUUUAUUGUAUUUUUUUAUGUUUGUUUGGAAUCUUGUAUUAGCAGUAAUACUUUUUGAAUAUUCCAGUUUGAUGGGAACAACAUUUU
rnacentral:lncRNA from 1 species